rnacentral:lncRNA from 1 species
UUUCUCUUGCUUACAAUCACCAAAGCCAAAAUAACAAAAGAAGAAAAGAAAAAAAAAACCCAACUAUCAUUUCUGCCUAAUUGCUUACCUCUCUUAAGCCCCCGUUUCCCCUCUAUCCCAACAGGAUCUGUUAAUAGACCCACCUUCCUUUUUCUCUGGAGUGCUAGGAUUGAAACAUUUGCCACCACACUCUGCUUAGGUUUCUUUUUUGUUUCGUUUUUUUUUUCCCUCAAAACAUAAAACACCUCAAAAAUUUCCUCAAAAUAUUUUGAGACUUUUUAUUUUACAUGUAUGGUUAUUUUGCCUUGAUGUAUGUCUGUGUACCAUGUGCAUACAGUGUGCUCUUGCAGGGCAGAAGGUGUCAGAGCUCCUUGGAACUGGAGUUAGAGAUGAUUGCUAGCCACUAUGUAGGUAUUGGGAAUGGAACCCCAAGUCCUCUGGAAGAGCAGCCACUGUUCUUAACUGCUGAGCCAACUCUCUCCAGCCCUAGAAUUUCGUUUUCUUAAUUUCCUUGAGUUCUUUUUUUCUAGUCAUUUCUCCAGAUUAAACAGCCUAUCCAGGAACUAUUUUCUGGGAUAGAGAAGCCUGACUCCUUCCAUGCAGCAUAGUAGAUAAUUUUCCAAGUGAUUUAUUUUUCCCAAUAUACAAUCUUGCUUCUGUCUGAAAAUGAUAAAAUUACAUGUGUGAUAAAGUUAUUAGAAAAUAAAAAAUGUGAUUAUUACUAGUAAAUAUUUGAUUUGCAUAUCAAGUUUAUAUACCUAUAUGCCUGGGACCAUGUACCAAUGUCUCAGGUGGUCUUUGAGUAAGAGUGAGGAAGGUUUAAGAAGCCAUAUUCUCAAUCUGUAGAUUAUAACCCUCACAGGGGUAACAUAUGAGAUAUCCUGCAUAUCUCUACAUUAUGAUUCAUAUCAGUAGCAAAAUUACAGUUAUGAAGUAGCAAUAAAAUAAUUUUAUGGUUGGGGGGGUCACAACAAUAUGAACUAUCAAGUGGUGACCCCCAACCAUAAAAUUAUUUUGUUAAAAGUUGAAUCAUUAGGAAGGUUGAGAACCACUGUUCUGGACCAACACUAAAUGGUUAACAUUUUUAUAAGAUGAAUUCACUUUAUGUGUUCAACAUUUGCCAUAAAGAUAUUCUUUGCUAACAUGAUUUGGUGCUAGCUUCCUACAUAAAUACUAAUUUUCCUUUGGCUCUCAGAAACUUGGUCUCUAGUUGGGGAGCUGAAGUAUACACAGAAUUGAGAGAGUGAGAAGUGCCUCAAGGCCCGAGAGCUGUACAGUGAACCAACCAUCCAGUACUAAAACAAGCUACUGUCUGUUCUGAGAAUGCAAAUCUGCAUAGAUAUUAUCAGGAGGCUCUGGUUCCCAUCCUGGCUUUGGGUCUUAAUAUCCUGGGGAGGUUUUAACUCAGUCGGCUUUGGGUGGGACAGGAAGCUAGUUUCUAAUCUGCACUGUGGCUUAUAACAUCAAAGAGAAUCUUGUAUUUUCUUACUUCCAAGAAACAAGUUUGCUCUUUAGUUCUACAUAUUCUGUUUCAUUUAGAUAGCCUUUAUUUAAGCAAAAGUUGUACAUAUUCAUAGAGAGAGAGAGAGAGAGAGAGAGA